AACGAACGCUGGCGGCAGGCUUAACACAUGCAAGUCGAGCGCCCCGCAGGGGGAGCGGCAGACGGGUGCGUAACACGUGGGUAAUCUGCCCUGAAGUCCGGAAUAACUCGCCGAAAGGCGUGCUAAUGCCGGAUGAGACCACGGGAGCCUCGGCUCCUGCGGGAAAAGGUGGCCUCUGUACACAAGCUAUCGCUUCAGGAUGAGCCCGCGGCCCAUCAGCUCGUUGGCGGGGUAAUGGCCCACCCAGGCUACGACGGAUAGCUGGUCUGAGCGGACGAUCAGCCACACUGGAACGGAGACACGGUCCAGACUCCUACGGGAGGCAGCAGUGGGGAAUCUUGCGCAAUGGGCGAAAGCCUGACGCAGCAACGCCGCGUGUGUGAUGAAGGUCUUCGGAUCGUAAAGCACUGUCGCGAGGGACGAAUAAGGGGCGGGCGAACAUCCCGUUCCGAUGACGGUACCUCGAGAGGAAGCACCGGCUAACUCUGUGCCAGCAGCCGCCGUAAAAC
rnacentral:rRNA from 1 species